rnacentral:tRNA from 1 species
GGGAAGGUGGCUCAGUGGUAGAGCGCUUGCCUUGCAUGCCUGAGGCCCUGGGUUCG